rnacentral:tRNA from 1 species
GUUCUAAAUAAUUUAUAUAAAAUAUCUACUUUGGAUGUAGAAAAUUCUAAA